CUGAAUUGUCUCAUUUAAAGUUUGCCUGCUAAAAAUAAGGUGAAGGUGGACAGCUUUUGAUUAGCAUGACGUCCCUUUCUGGAGAGUGUUUACAAGACCAACAAAUCACGAUUCAAUUAAACUGUGCCCUGUAUAGUACUUUCCAAGUAUUUUUUGCAGUUUCUUUAUCCAGCAUUCACGCCUACCCUAUUUUUUUCUUGAUUCAUUUGGCAAGACUUUGCAUGUAAAGUCCCACAAGAAAGACAAACGAGGAACAUUUUAAAAACUUGAUUGCAGAUCUUGCUGCUUAAGACACAGGCAUUAUCCCAUGCCUGCCAUCAUGUCAGCUGGCUCUUUAACAACGAAAUAAAGAAGUAACAAUUAGGCUGUAUUUACAUUUCUCUAGUGGCAUUGUUUGCUCCCCUAUAAUUAAAGGAUCUGCCAGCUUUUCAAUUACCAACUCCUAUUUUUAGGGCAGUGAGUAUUUAACACGCAAACUCACACAAGGGCUUUUUAAGAAGUGAGGCCCCAUCCACUUUGAGUGUGGCUGUGUGGAUUACAAACUGAUUAACACCAACAGGCAGCUGCCCAACCGGCUGAGUGCCUUGGAAGCCAUCAUGGUUCUGGAUCCUGCUCCAGCCUGGUGCACUGCUGCCAUCCUCUUGCUGCACCUACAGCCUGUUCACAGCUUGAAGCCACUCUUUGGUAAGGUUGGAUGAAGUAGAAGAUGAUGCAGGAGCAGACACUGAGGUCUUGUCACCAUCUGUGGUGGGAUUCUGGCCCCUGGGAAAAGGCAAAAAACAGCAGGACUGGGGACAAGCACCUCCCACAGUAUGUGCUGUGUAUACUGGGAGCACUCAAGCUUUGAUUAAACUAAAUUCAAUCCCCAAGACUUUCUAAUGAACUGUAAAAACUCACUCUAAUUUACAUUCAAAAAUCACUAUGCUCUCCAUACUGUAAUUACAUUAGUAAUGAUCUAUCUGAAGCCUUCUUAAGUUUUAUAGGACUUUUACUUGUAAUUAUAAAAAUAUGAAAAAGAGAUAAGAGAGAGAAAAUAAGGAAAUAGUAAAGGAUGGAAUUGAAAAAAGAAAGCUAGGAGGGGAGAACAGAAAAGAUUCUGAAAGGACAGAGAGAGCAGAAGAAACUACAGUAGCAUAGCAAUGUAAUAAAAUUCUAAAGCUUGUCAAAAUCACUUUCUUGCAUAGGUAAAUUAAAAUAUCAGAAAAAAA